rnacentral:rRNA from 1 species
UGCCAGCCGCCGCGGUAAGACGAACCGUACGAACGUUAUUCGGAAUCACUGGGCUUAAAGCGUGCGUAGGCGGCUUGGCAAGUUGGGUGUGAAAUCCCUCGGCUCAACCGAGGAAUUGCGCUCAAAACUGCCAAGCUUGAGGGAGAUAGAGGUGAGCGGAACUGAUGGUGGAGCGGUGAAAUGCGUAGAUAUAGGAAGGAACACCAGUGGCGAAGGCGGCACUCUGGACCAAUACUGACACUGAGGUGCGAAAGCGUUGGGAGCAAACAGGAUUAGAUA